UACGGAGGAUGCGAGCGUUAUCCGGAUUUAUUGGGUUUAAAGGGUGCGUAGGCGGAUGAAUAAGUCAGUGGUGAAAACCUGCAGCUUAACUGUAGAACUGCCAUUGAUACUGUUUGUCUUGAGUGUGGUCAAGGUAGGCGGAAUGUGUAAUGUAGCGGUGAAAUGCUUAGAUAUUACACAGAACACCGAUUGCGAAGGCAGCUUACUGGACCAUUACUGACGCUGAUGCACGAAAGCGUGGGGAGCGAAC
rnacentral:rRNA from 1 species